ensembl:lncRNA
GCCGUUAUUGUAUUUUACGUGAGACGCUGUGAGGUGUGCAGGGGUGCCGCUGCUCACGAACACAAUAUUUACACAAUUAUUCAGAUUUUUUGACAUUUUUUCGGCGUUUUUCUGCAGUCAGGAUGCCCAAAAGAAAGAUUGAUGGUGAGAAGGCCGCCAAAGGCAAGGAGGAGCCAACAAGACGCUCCGCGAGGUUGUCUGCUAAACCAGCUCCUCCUAAACCAGAACCAAAGCCCAAAAAAGCCGCCCCCAAGGUAAGGAUGUACAGCUUUGCAUUAAUAUUAUAUGAUCGUUUAGUAAUUGAAUUUGUUCCGUUGAUGACAAAAAGCCUUGUUCACAUGUUAACCGCUACGUUUGGGGUCUGUUAUUAUUUAUGCAAACCUGUAUAUUGUUGUUGGUCACACAGAAGCCAGCCAAGGGGAAGAAGGGCAGCAACCCUGCUGAAAACGGAGACGCCAAGGCAGACCAGGUUAGAAAAGACAUACAUAAAUACACCAAUAAAUAUCAGACCCUCAAGUGCUUCUACUUCUGCUUUUGAUUCACUUUAUCUGCUCUAGCACAGCAACUAAUUACUGGAGCGUGUAAGGUUUGGUAAUUGCUCACCCAAAUCUUCAUCCCUUUCCUUCAGGCACAGAAGGUUGACGCUGCUGGCGAUGCUAAAUGAGAAGCUAACGAGUGUCUGAUCCUUCUAUGUACUUGGUGACUGUACAGUUUGAAAUAACUAUUUUUUACCAAGUUUUAUAUUAAGAAUUACAUUUAUAGUUGACUUGUUGACUUGCUUUUUAUGUACUGAUUGAUUUGACAGGAGUUACUAUAUUUCAUUCAUAUCCCGUUUUUUUUCAAUCAAGCCGUCUAUAUCUUGCCAAAACAGUUUGCCCCGGCUAAAUCUGUUGGCGAAACAUAAGAAUUUUGUCCUAAAGUUUGUUUUAUUGCUUUAUCUUUCUUCCUUUCUUGGUUUUAUCUUUGGAUUUUAAACACCAAACAUUCUCAAAAGGCAGCUUAAGAGUGUUUCUAAACUGUUUUCGGAAGGGUUUCGACCAUGUUGUUAGCAUUUAAAACGUACAAAUACUGUGUUUUUAGUUUUUUAAAAGAAAUUACAAUGAAAUUGUCACUAGGAGAGAGGAAAAAAAAGAGUAAAUAAGGCAACAAUGUUGAGUAAAUUUACUAUGUGAACCUUCUAUUUCUUUAGAGCUGUGUGUUCUUAGCUUGUCUUGUUUAUUAAGUUAUGUUCUGCAACCGUGGAAGGAUAUUCAAUUACUCUUAAAAUGCUGUUUUAAAUGGUUUUGAAUAAAAAAAUAAAUAAACUGUCCA